rnacentral:lncRNA from 1 species
ACAUUUCCACAGUGUUAGCAUUAUAAAACAAGGAACAUGGUCAUUCAACAGAAGGCUGUAAUUCACCCCGACUAGUUCCUGAUUUAAAGAGCAUCACAACGACACCAUUUUGUACUUUUAAACCUUAGAUUAUUCUUUCAGUGAUUUCAGACCAUUGUAUAUUGCCGGGUGAUAUUGUAUACUGGGUGUACAAUAACAAGUACCCUUUCUUCAUGAAGGUCGUGGUUCCUUUGGAGUUGACUGAACGACUGCUGGCCAGUUUUGUCUGGAGGAAGGCAGGCAUUCAGCAGUUGUGUCUGGUCUGGUCGAGUUCCUGCCCGACAACAUUGCAGACACAUGCCAGAUUUUACAACGCCUGGAUAGGUAUUUAACAUAUCGGAUAACCACAUCAUAUAUAGCAAUUUGUUGCUCUAGUGCACAGUCAAUGACGUGGCAAACAACCAUUGGUUGAUGAAACGCAAUGCCUGCACAUCUAGUUGGGCAGGAACGACCUAUGGCUCUCCCAAUCGUCUUAAAAAUCGCUCCUCUACUAGUCUCUUAUCUACACUGAUUGGAAAAGACUAGACAGGUCUCACCAUGAAGCUGGCUUUCAUCUGGUCAGUUCUUCCAGAUCAGUACAGCUGAAGGAGAGGAUGAUGUCUGGAUAGUAGAGACACGACAGUUAAACAUCUUCCUCUUCUGCAGACCGACCGCAGGAUCCUGACUGUACCAGAGUUCAGACAGGACAACAAACCCAUUCAAGCAAAAACUAAAAAAGGACAGUAGUCUUCUGUAGAACAUAUCGGAUGCUAUUACACAACUUAAAACAUGGUUGGUACAGUUGAAACUUGCAGGGGGCAUCACUGAGGGUUUCCUCCUCGAGAGAUUAAGGCUGUAGAAUCCUUCUUAAAGCCACCCUGUCUUACUGGACUACAAUGUAUCAGGAUCUAAGAUAAUACGGCAGGUAGCCUAGUGGUUAUAGUCAGGUAGCCUAGUGGUUAGAGCAGGUAGCCUAGUGGUUAGAGCCAGGUAGCCUAGUGGUUAGAGCCAGGUAGCCUAGUGGUUAGAGCCAGGUAGCCUAGUGGUUAGAGCCAGGUAGCCUAGUGGUUAGAGCCAGGUAGCCUAGUGGUUAGAGCCAGGUAGCCUAGUGGUUAGAGCCAGGUAGCCUAGUGGUUAGAGCCAGGUAGCCUAGUGGUUAGAGCCAGGUAGCCUAGUGGUUAGAGCAGGUAGCCUAGUGGUUAGAGCCAGGUAGCCUAGUGGUUAGAGCCAGGUAGCCUAGUGGUUAGAGCCAGGUAGCCUAGUGGUUAGAGGCAGGUAGCCUAGUGGUUAGAGGCAG